ACGGGAGGCAGCAGUGGGGGAUAUUGCACAAUGGAGGAAACUCUGAUGCAGCAACGCCGCGUGAGGGAAGAAGGUUUUCGGAUUGUAAACCUCUGUUUUUAGUGAAGAAACAAAUGACGGUAGCUAAAGAGGAAGCCACGGCUAACAACGUGCCAGCAGCCGCGGUAAUACGUAGGUUGCAAGCGUUGUCCGGAUUUACUGGGUGUAAAGGGCGUGUAGGCGGAGCUGCAAGUCAGAUGUGAAAUGCCGGGGCUCAACCCCGGAACUGCAUUUGAAACUGCAGUCCUUGAGUAUCGGAGAGGCAAGCGGAAUUCCUAGUGUAGCGGUGAAAUGCGUAGAUAUUAGGAGGAACACCAGUGGCGAAGGCGGCUUGCUGGACCACAACUGACGCUGAGGCGCGAAAGCGUGGGGAGCAAACAGGAUUAGAUACCCUGGUA
rnacentral:rRNA from 1 species